UGCAUAAUGUUUGAAAUUUUGCACACAUUUACAAUAAUUGUAAAUGUGUUGAAAAUCGUUUGCACAA
rnacentral:pre_miRNA from 1 species